GCAUGUACAAAAAGACCUCCCCCCUCGCUGGAUGUCAGAGUGAGGUUCGUUAGGUCCACUGUAACCAGAAAGAAUCAGCGGAAAUGAGCUCAUAUUCAAUUUGUGCAAAGAAGAAAGCUGCUAACAAGAGAGAAAUAAGGAGAGAUGUAGGAGAAGAGAGGGGAGACCAUGCUGCAGGGGAGGCCGAGAAGUGAGAAGUCGCUAAGAGUCAGUCAGCAGCUGUGACUAAGCCUGCAGUAACUACCAGCAGACUGUCACCAGGACUUCCCUGGUAACUGAGACUGGAGAUGGAGCUCUAUACUCAGAUAAAGCAAACAAAUGACAACAACGACGACGAAGAACGAACAACGACAACAGGAGUGUUUCCUGGUGAGAGUGUUUGUUGUGUUCUCUGGUACUCUUCAUGGUGAACUCAAGUAGAACUGCUAUGCUCUGCUACAGUCUGCUGGGAAUGUUGGAUUGGGCUCCCUGGGAAACAAUCUGGGGCUCAUUUGAGCCCCCUUGGGAGCUGAAUUCUAGCAAGCAUGACUGGCUAUGGCUCCAUCUGUGAGCAAGAGCAAAAUGGGCCUCUCCUUCAUGAACCCAUCACAUCUGGAACAUUACAGAAGAGGAUCCAAGAAGAAUAGCAACUAAUCUAAGGCCACUUGGCUCAGGCAGUCCAGUCCUCUUUCCCCUGUGACAGAUCACUUUCACUUCUCUUUUAUUCUAACAAGCAUUUAAUCAGUAGAGCUGAAUGGUAUUAUUAAAGUAGCCAGCAGGGCUAGCAUUUCACACACCCACCUCAUUGGGUCUUCAGUGGCUGUAUCUCAAAAAAAAAAAAAAAAAAGCAGACGUUUCCUUCCCUGCCCAGCCUUUCUAGUGCAAAUGUUCUUUUACUCUUGUUUCUUAGAGCACAUAACACACUUAGACAAUCCCCAUGGACAUACAUAUAUGGACAUACAUGCAUGUAUUCUCAUAUACAGCUUGCACACAUAUCACUAACGUAUUAUGCAUCUGCACUGUGGUAACUUGUAUGUUCCCACUGCACAGUGAAUGGAGAAGAUGAGCUUGCCUUCCUGCAGCUACUUACUAUAUCUAUGUCUAGCACUUUGGGUCCAGUCUUUGCCACAGAGCAAAACAGUUAAAAUUGCAUCAGACCUAAGCCUCCAGCGUCAAAUCUAUCUUUGGACACACUGCCCAGAUGUUUAAGUCUGGAAGAGCUUCUAAUUCCUUCCUACAAGAAGAAAAUAGAUUGAACCCCUAACUCAUAAGAGAGAAAGAAUGAUGAUAAGAAGAGUAAGUGCAGAGAUUGACCACCAUUUUGAGACAACUGCGCAUGUCUACUACAUUCAAUUACCUGUGCCACUCUAGCUGCCAAACUGGCUAUCACUGGUUCAUUUAAUGGAUUUUCCGAUUCAGAGCAUGUACCAUAUCAUCUGGGCUAUGAGAUUGUGAACUUGUUCCUAAGAAUCUUGUGUCAUGGUUGCUCUCAUCCUCAUGCACGCGUGCGUGCGUGCGUGCGUGCGUGCGUGCGAGCGUGUGUGUGUGUGUGUGUGUGUGUGUCUGGGUAUUGGAGGUGAGAACUCCAGAUGAGACAUAGAAUAGGAACAUUUAAUUAUCCAUCUGCAUAAAGUCAAGACAAAAAAGAAUUCUGUCUGUGUCCCAGACCUACAGACACCACCUAUUUCUAUCAACCAUCAGAGACAGGCUGAGCAGAGUGGAUGGUUUCUAUGCUUGUCCAUGGAAAUCACAGGGGCAAUCAGAGAAAAUACUCUAGUGGCAUGACCCUAUCUCAGAGCACUGCCUGGGAAAGAGUCUGCCUCCAUGCCAUGGUCCAAGGGAUAAAAGUAAGGAACAUUAUUAGUAAGCCAUCAUUUCUAUUAGAAGAUGAGGGCAAAGAGCUGCCAUUGUAAUAAGGAGUAAACAUCCACGGUAUCUUUGUUCAAAGAAAGUGUACACUGUCUUCACUGGUCUUAACCUUGACCCUUUGGCGUGGCAAUUUUUCCCUCUAUUUCAUUUAUUAUUUUAAUUGGUACAUAUUAAUUAUACAAUUUAUGCUAUGGAAUUAGAACUAGGUAAUUAGCAUCCUAGUGUCUCAACUAUCUGACAUUGUACUACAAAUAUUCAAAAUCCUUUCUCCCAGCUCUUCUUAAGUAGUAAGGUGUGGAUAGCAUUUUACUCUACAAUACACUAGAACUUAUUCCUCCUAUCUAACUGAAUUUUUAUACUCAAGUCACUACUUUCUCACCCCUUCCUUCCUUGCCUCUGAUAACCAUUAUUCCACUUUAUUUCUACAGAGUCAGUUUUAUUUAUCUUCACAAAUAAAUGAGAACAUGAGGUAUUUCUCUUUCUAUGCCCUGCUUACUUCACUUAAUAUAAUGUUCUCUGGCUACUCCAUGACAUUGCAAUGAAAAUAUGCUUACCACUGGGGAAAUGCACUCAGAGCCACAACUGACCAUCUCACCUAAUGAAUGGCUGUAGUCACGAAGACAAAAACAACAAAUGCUAGAGAAAACAUAGUGGCAAGCAGUUCCCAUGCACUGUUGGCUGGCAUACUGAUUGGAACAAUAGUCUUAAUGAAAUGGCCCAUGGUUCAAAGUCAUUGGAAUGUCCUUCUCUUUCUCCACACCCUGAUGUUUUUUAAUCUAGGUCAAACCAGAUUAAAAUAGCUAGACAUUUCAGGAAAGGUAAAGAAGGGUCAAAUGUGCAGACAAGACAAUUGGUGAUUAAAUGGUAUCUGUUAGGGGUUGGGGAUUUAGCUCAGUGGUAGAGCGCUUGCCUAGCAAGCGCAAGGCCCUGGGUUCGGUCCCCAGCUCCAAAAAAAAAAGAAAAAGAAAAAAAAUGGUAUCUGUUAGCAGAUUUGCAGGUGCUGUAACUGCUCUAGGGACUCAGUCACAUCAGUGAACAAAGCAAUGAUGUAGGCCAUGAGAUACCUACAUCCUGGAAUUGGAAGCCAGUAAGCAGAAUCUAAGGGCAGCCCAUCAUCCCAACAAUGAGGGCUUGGGACAGAGAGAAGACAGAGGAGGAGAGAGAGGGUAUGGCAGAAUUAAAUGAAGUACUGGGAGGUCUCCCUGAGAGAUGACCCAUGGCUUAAGGGAAGCGCAUGAGCAAGUGGGCUUGUAGGGAAAGAAUGUCCAAGCCUGACAUCACAGAGGCCAUUGUGGCUAAAAGCGGGUAGAAGGGAGAGUCCCAAAUGCUGACACUGAAGAGACAUAUCAGAGAGGUCUGAACGGCAUGGCAGGAACUUGUCUUCAUUCAAAAUUAGACAGAAGCAGGGGAGGCUAUGAGCACAGGCCUGAUAGCAAGUGAUUAAGACUUUUAAAGAGAUCACUUAUUCUGAUGCUCUAUUAAUAAGAGACUAUAGAUAGACAGGGAUGAAAGCCUGGAAAUCCAGUCAAUUGUGGUGUUUGGAGAAGGGUGGUAGCAGGAAAUAAAAGGAUGAAACUAGUUCUGCUCUAAGCAUCUUGGGAUAACAAUCUGGUCCAGGUAGAGUAUGUGUAGCAUUUAAGAAGACAAGCCAAGGCCUGAGCUAUUACAGUGAUGGAGUUCUGUCUGGGUAAUGCAGUGGAGCUGGCCCUGAUGGUGAAGGCAUGGGUGAGCCAGCCCUGAGGGUAUGAGAGGAAGAGCUGCUCCAGCUCCUUGCUAUAUGCAGCACUUGGGAAAGGGGGCCCCAGGUGCCUACACUGGGCAACACAAUGAAGCUGGCUCUGGAUGCACAAGAGCUGGCCCUGCCUCCUGAUGAUGUCUGCUUUGGGUGGGUUAGCCAGAGCAGUGCUGCAGAGCUCUCCCUAGUGGUGUGGGGAAAGGGAAGUUGAUGGGUUGACACACAGGCCCUGAUCCAGGGCUUUCAGUUGGUCCACCUCAAAAUCUACAUUAUCUGUGAACUGUUAGCUGUGAAAGGGCUGGUCCUGCUGACCCAGGUUUCAGGACCUCCAUGACACAGGAAAACAACAAGAUAACUGAGAGGAGUCCCAGUGAGGAUCCAAUACUGAUGGUGUGGCACAAGCCAGAAACCUCAAACAAUGCACAUUUGCAAGUAAAGAUGUGUGGACAGGGUGUAUACUGUAGGACACAUUGUAAACAAACUACAGCUUCCACAAUGAAAUGUUUUCUAUGC